rnacentral:rRNA from 1 species
GGGUUGUGAGGUUAAGCGACUAAGCGUACACGGUGGAUGCCCUGGCAGUCAGAGGCGAUGAAGGACGUGCUAAUCUGCGAAAAGCGUCGGUAAGGUGAUAUGAACCGUUAUAGCCGGCGAUGUCCGAAUGGGGAAACCCAGUGCAAUUCGUUGCACUAUCGUUAACUGAAUACAUAGGUUAACGAGGCGAACCGGGGGAACUGAAACAUCUAAGUACCCCGAGGAAAAGAAAUCAACCGAGAUUCCCCCAGUAGCGGCGAGCGAACGGGGAGCAGCCCAGAGUCUGAAUCAGCUUGUGUGUUAGUGGAACGGUCUGGAAAGUCCGACGGUACAGGGUGAUAGUCCCGUACACCAAAAUGCACAGGCUGUGAACUCGAAGAGUAGGGCGGGACACGUGGUAUCCUGUCUGAAUAUGGGGGGACCAUCCUCCAAGGCUAAAUACUCCUGACUGACCGAUAGUGAACCAGUACCGUGAGGGAAAGGCGAAAAGAACCCCGGCGAGGGGAGUGAAAAAGAACCUGAAACCGUGUACGUACAAGCAGUGGGAGCACCUUCGGGUGUGACUGCGUACCUUUUGUAUAAUGGGUCAGCGACUUAUAUUCUGUAGCAAGGUUAACCGUAUAGGGGAGCCGCAGGGAAACCGAGUCUUAACUGGGCGUUAAGUUGCAGGGUAUAGACCCGAAACCCGGUGAUCUAGCCAUGGGCAGGUUGAAGGUUGGGUAACACUAACUGGAGGACCGAACCGACUAAUGUUGAAAAAUUAGCGGAUGACUUGUGGCUGGGGGUGAAAGGCCAAUCAAACCGGGAGAUAGCUGGUUCUCCCCGAAAGCUAUUUAGGUAGCGCCUCGUGAACUCAUCUUCGGGGGUAGAGCACUGUUUCGGCUAGGGGGUCAUCCCGACUUACCAACCCGAUGCAAACUACGAAUACCGAAGAAUGUUAUCACGGGAGACACACGGCGGGUGCUAACGUCCGUCGUGAAGAGGGAAACAACCCAGACCGCCAGCUAAGGUCCCAAAGUCAUGGUUAAGUGGGAAACGAUGUGGGAAGGCACAGACAGCCAGGAUGUUGGCUUAGAAGCAGCCAUCAUUUAAAGAAAGCGUAAUAGCUCACUGGUCGAGUCGGCCUGCGCGGAAGAUGUAACGGGGCUAAACCAUGCACCGAAGCUGCGGCAGCGACACUAUGUGUUGUUGGGUAGGGGAGCGUUCUGUAAGCCUGCGAAGGUGUGCUGUGAGGCAUGCUGGAGGUAUCAGAAGUGCGAAUGCUGACAUAAGUAACGAUAAAGCGGGUGAAAAGCCCGCUCGCCGGAAGACCAAGGGUUCCUGUCCAACGUUAAUCGGGGCAGGGUGAGUCGACCCCUAAGGCGAGGCCGAAAGGCGUAGUCGAUGGGAAACAGGUUAAUAUUCCUGUACUUGGUGUUACUGCGAAGGGGGGACGGAGAAGGCUAUGUUAGCCGGGCGACGGUUGUCCCGGUUUAAGCAUGUAGGCUGGUUGUCCAGGCAAAUCCGGAUAAUCAAGGCUGAGGUGUGAUGACGAGGCACUACGGUGCUGAAGUAACAAAUGCCCUGCUUCCAGGAAAAGCCUCUAAGCAUCAGGUAACAUCAAAUCGUACCCCAAACCGACACAGGUGGUCAGGUAGAGAAUACCAAGGCGCUUGAGAGAACUCGGGUGAAGGAACUAGGCAAAAUGGUGCCGUAACUUCGGGAGAAGGCACGCUGGUGUGUAGGUGAAGUCCCUGCGGAUGGAGCUGAGACCAGUCGAAGAUACCAGCUGGCUGCAACUGUUUAUUAAAAACACAGCACUGUGCAAACACGAAAGUGGACGUAUACGGUGUGACGCCUGCCCGGUGCCGGAAGGUUAAUUGAUGGGGUUAUCCGUAAGGAGAAGCUCUUGAUCGAAGCCCCGGUAAACGGCGGCCGUAACUAUAACGGUCCUAAGGUAGCGAAAUUCCUUGUCGGGUAAGUUCCGACCUGCACGAAUGGCGUAAUGAUGGCCAGGCUGUCUCCACCCGAGACUCAGUGAAAUUGAACUCGCUGUGAAGAUGCAGUGUACCCGCGGCAAGACGGAAAGACCCCGUGAACCUUUACUAUAGCUUGACACUGAACAUUGAGCCUUGAUGUGUAGGAUAGGUGGGAGGCUUUGAAGCGUGGACGCCAGUCUGCGUGGAGCCAACCUUGAAAUACCACCCUUUAAUGUUUGAUGUUCUAACGUUGGCCCCUGACCGGGGUUGCGGACAGUGUCUGGUGGGUAGUUUGACUGGGGCGGUCUCCUCCCAAAGCGUAACGGAGGAGCACGAAGGUUAGCUAAUCCUGGUCGGACAUCAGGAGGUUAGUGCAAUGGCAUAAGCUAGCUUGACUGCGAGCGUGACGGCGCGAGCAGGUGCGAAAGCAGGUCAUAGUGAUCCGGUGGUUCUGAAUGGAAGGGCCAUCGCUCAACGGAUAAAAGGUACUCCGGGGAUAACAGGCUGAUACCGCCCAAGAGUUCAUAUCGACGGCGGUGUUUGGCACCUCGAUGUCGGCUCAUCACAUCCUGGGGCUGAAGUAGGUCCCAAGGGUAUGGCUGUUCGCCAUUUAAAGUGGUACGCGAGCUGGGUUUAGAACGUCGUGAGACAGUUCGGUCCCUAUCUGCCGUGGGCGCUGGAGAAUUGAGGGGGGCUGCUCCUAGUACGAGAGGACCGGAGUGGACGCAUCACUGGUGUUCGGGUUGUCAUGCCAAUGGCACUGCCCGGUAGCUAAAUGCGGAAGAGAUAAGUGCUGAAAGCAUCUAAGCACGAAACUUGCCCCGAGAUGAGUUCUCCCUGAGACUUUAAGUCUCCUGAAGGAACGUU